rnacentral:lncRNA from 1 species
GCUGCAGUGCCAUCGACAUAAUAGUAUAGGUUAUACAUAGGUUAAUAAACCAAAAACUUUUUUGAAUUUUGAAAAGUUUUUGAAUUUUGAUACUAUAGCACUUUCAUUUUUAUUUGAUAAAUAUUAUCCAAUCAUGAACUAACUAGGCUAAAAAGAUUCGUCUCGUGAUUUACAGAUAUGUGCCGCAAGAUUCGAUGUGAUGAGAAAUCUUAAAAAAAAAAUUGGUUUUUAGGUGAACUAAACAAAGCCAUAGAUAGAUAUUAGAGAUAAUAGCCAUA